AGCACUGAAUGGGUUAGGGGCCCCACAAGGUUUACCGACCCCAAUCAAACUCCGAAUGCCGCACAGAUUUACCACGGGAGUCAGUCCGCGGGUGAUAAGAUCCGCGGGCGAGAGGGAAAGAGCCCAGACCAACAGCUAAGGUCCCUAAAUCGAAACUAAGUGGUGAAAGGAAGUCUGAUUGCUCAGACAGCUAGGAGGUUGGCUUAGAAGCAGCCAUCCUUUAAAGAAAGCGUAACAGCUCACUAGUUAAGUGAUCGGGCGCCGAAAAUAAUCGGGACUCAAGUUUCGUACCGAAGCUUUGGAUUCGCGUGCUUGCACGCGUCUGGUAGGGGAGCAUUCCGUAGGUGGCUGAAGCUGCUUCGUGAGAAGUGGUGGACACAUCGGAAGGGCUUAUGCCGGCAUGAGUAGCGAUAAUGCAGGUGAGAAACCUGCACACCGUAAACCUAAGGUUUCCUGAGGAAGGCUAAUCCGCUCAGGGUAAGUCGGCCCCUAAGCCGAGGCUGAAAAGCGUAG
rnacentral:rRNA from 1 species